AACACUUGUUCGAUUCGUCUCUAGUUCUUCUCAACAAGUUUAUGAUC
rnacentral:sRNA from 1 species